GAUGAACGCUGGCGGCGUGCCUAAUACAUGCAAGUCGAGCGGACGGACGAGAAGCUUGCUUCUCUGAUGUUAGCGGCGGACGGGUGAGUAACACGUGGAUAACCUACCUAUAAGACUGGGAUAACUUCGGGAAACCGGAGCUAAUACCGGAUAAUAUUUUGAACCGCAUGGUUCAAAAGUGAAAGACGGUCUUGCUGUCACUUAUAGAUGGAUCCGCGCUGCAUUAGCUAGUUGGUAAGGUAACGGCUUACCAAGGCAACGAUGCAUAGCCGACCUGAGAGGGUGAUCGGCCACACUGGAGCUGAGACGCGGUCCAGACUCCUACGGGAGGCAGCAGUAGGGAAUCUUCCGCAAUGGGCGAAAGCCUGACGGAGCAACGCCGCGUGAGUGAUGAAGGUCUUCGGAGCGUAAAACUCUGUUAUUAGGGAAGAACAUAUGUGUAAGUAACUGUGCACAUCUUGACGGUACCUAAUCAGAAAGCCACGGCUAACUACGUG
rnacentral:rRNA from 1 species